CUGUCCUUUGUGGCUCCAGCCUUCAUGAGGAGAGAGAAGUCCAGCCAGGUGAGAGUCUGCUCACCUGAAGAGACAGACUCUUGAGGAGGAGCAGCUCUGGACCUCCGGAUUGACCGUUCUCUCCCGCAACUAAGAGGGAGCAACUCCUCCAGUGCAUCGCCGAGAACAGCGCCGGCUCCACGCAGGCCAGCGCCCGCCUCACAGUGCUUUGGGCCGACGGGCUCCCCGGGGCCCCCACACAGGUGCGGGCCCAGGCGUUGUCGCCCGGCGCCAUCCAGGUGUCCUGAUGUCCAGGACAUCAUCGGCUACGUGCUGCACAUCCGGCGGUCCUCAGGUGUUGUCGUCCCUCCUCCAAGCUUGGGGGGAGAUGGGCCUCCCCGGGUCCCCAAGCUUGACGGACAUCCGUUCAGCCGUGGCCACAUACGUGAGUAUCAAAAACACGUGAUAAGGAAUUGGUCAAUUUGGUGCAUUUUGCUUCCGUUACGCACAUUCGAUGCAAACACAUUCUUGUUUGUAAUUGCCCCUCUUUUUCUUUGUUUG